UAAAGAAUUUCGGUAUGGGAUGGGGAUGCGUUCCAUUAGUUAGUUGGCGGGGUAACGGCCCACCGAGACAACGAUGGAUAGGGGUUCUGAGAGGAAGGUCCCCCACAUUGGAACUGAGACACGGUCCAAACUCCUACGGGAGGCAGCAGUGAGGAAUAUUGGUCAAUGGACGAGAGUCUGAACCAGCCAAGUAGCGUGAAGGAUGACUGCCCUACGGGUUGUAAACUUCUUUUAUAUGGGAAUAAAAUGUUCCACGUGUGGGAUUUUGUAUGUACCAUAUGAAUAAGGAUCGGCUAACUCCGUGCCAGCAGCCGCGGUAAUACGGAGGAUCCGAGCGUUAUCCGGAUUUAUUGGGUUUAAAGGGAGCGUAGGUGGAUUGUUAAGUCAGUUGUGAAAGUUUGCGGCUCAACCGUAAAAUUGCAGUUGAAACUGGCAGUCUUGAGUACAGUAGAGGUGGGCGGAAUUCGUGGUGUAGCGGUGAAAUGCUUAGAUAUCACGAAGAACUCCGAUUGCGAAGGCAGCUCACUGGACUGCAACUGACACUGAGGCUCGAAAGUGUGGGUAUCAAACAGGAUUAGAUACCCUGGUAGUCCACACAGUAAACGAUGAAUACUCGCUGUUUGCGAUAUAUGCAA
rnacentral:rRNA from 1 species